UCACUCUGUAAACCAGGCUGGCCUCGAAC
rnacentral:piRNA from 1 species